rnacentral:lncRNA from 1 species
ACCAACAAUUAUGAUACACAAUGACCUACGCCCGAUAAUACUAUCGUCCUAUUAAUAGUAUAUCAUACGGUCAUGAACAUUUAAGGACCUGUGUGACAAAAUCAUAUUUCAUUACACAAAGCAGUCCUAAGGACUUCAUCACAUCGGAGUUUGUGAAGAUGUUCUGGUGAUGAAUAAAUACCAUGUUAUUUAUAAUUGAUUCAAAUACAUUUACAAUCAACAAUUGAUUGGAUUUAGGACAUAAUUCCCAACAACUUCCACUUGACCUAAAGCCAAUCAGUACAGUAUCGUAUACCCAUCUUCAAGUAAUGAUGGUCAAACUCCUUUACACUGAGGGCCUUAGUGAAGGGGUCGUCUAAGUUAUCCUUCCCGUCAAUCUUUUGAAGAUCAACAUCACCUCGUUCUACUAUCUCACG